GACGAACGCUGGCGGCGUGCUUAACACAUGCAAGUCGAACGGAAAGGCCCUGCUUUUGUGGGGUGCUCGAGUGGCGAACGGGUGAGUAACACGUGAGUAACCUGCCCUUGACUUUGGGAUAGCUUCAGGAAACUGGGGCUAAUACCGGAUAGGAGCUCCUUCUGCAUGGUGGGGGUUGGAAAGUUUCGGCGGUUGGGGUUGGGCUCGCGCCUCAUCAGCUUGUUGGUGGGGUAGGGGCUUACCAAGGCUUUGGCGCGAAGCCGGCCUGGGCGGGUGACCGGCCCAACUGGGACUGAGAUACGGCCCAGACUCCAACGGGAGGCAGCAGUGGGGAAUGGUGCAUUAUGGGCGGAGGGCUGAUGCAGCCACGCCGCGUGCGGGAAGACGGGCUUCGGGUUGGAUACCGAUUCCGCCUGUGACGAGGCGUGAGUGACGGUAAUGGGUAAAGAAGCACCGGCUAACUACGUG
rnacentral:rRNA from 1 species